rnacentral:rRNA from 1 species
CAGUCGCCGCGGUAAUACGUAGGGUGCAAGCGUUAAUCGGAAUUACUGGGCGUAAAGCGUGCGCAGGCGGUUUGUUAAGACGGAUGUGAAAUCCCCGGGCUCAACCUGGGAACUGCAUCCGUGACUGGCAAGCUAGAGUAUGGCAGAGGGGGGUGGAAUUCCACGCGUAGCAGUGAAAUGCGUGGAGAUGUGGAGGAACACCGAUGGCGAAGGCAGCCCCCUGGGCCAAUACUGACGCUCAUGCACGAAAGCGUGGGGAGCAAACAGGAUUAGAUACCCCUGUAGUCCCUGUCUCUUAUAC